rnacentral:rRNA from 1 species
AUACGGAGGAUGCGAGCGUUAUCCGGAUUUAUUGGGUUUAAAGGGAGCGUAGGCGGGAGCUUAAGUCAGCGGUUAAAUGGUGCGGCUCAACCGUGCCCUGCCGUUGAAACUGGGUUUCUUGAGAGUGCAAGAGGCGGAUGGAAUUCAUGGUGUAGCGGUGAAAUGCUUAGAUAUCAUGAAGAACUCCGAUUGCGAAGGCAGUCCGCUGGGGCACGUCUGACGCUGAUGCUCGAAGGUGCGGGAAUCAAACAGGAUUAGAUACCCUGGUAGUCCACGCAGUAAACGAUGAUGACUAACCGUCGGCGAUACACAGUCGGUGGCCAAGCGAAAGCGAUAAGUCAUCCACCUGGGGAGUACGUUCGCAAGAAUGAAACUCAAAUGAAUUGGCGGGG